rnacentral:rRNA from 1 species
GGGGGGGCGGUUACCACUUUGUGGAUCAUGACUGGGGUGAAGUCGUAACAAGGUAGCCCUAGGGGAACCUGGGGCUGGAUCACCUCCUUA